UCUUUUGAUGAUGAAACAUUGAUUGGAUGUCUGAUACACAAUCCAUUAAACCAUGGGAUAACACGAGGCAUUUGUGUGAGAGAA